UCUUCCUCUCGAGUGCAUAUCUUCGAAUGUCCGCGAGAGGUCCCUUUAGACUUCAAACUGGGUUACAACAGACGCUAAAACGCAAGGGCUCUCAAUUGAAGUCCUCAAUACCAGUCUACUAGUCAGCUUGCUCCAGUGAGUCUGUCCUCACCUUCUAAUGCUGUGACUACAGGGAUUGGCGGAGCACGAAUCACCCCACUAUCACCCCUGCUACUUGUCCUCCAGGGAUUGGCGGAGCAUGAACAACCUUAUUAGCAUGGUACCACCCCGGCCAGAUUGACGCCAGGUGCAAACCCGAGCAUGUGCAGUACUGUUGUUCACCACAGGAGGGCGCCGGAUCACCUCAUCCUAUGGCCGCCCUGGCAAGGAGACAAGCCUGUGCAUGCGCGAUAAGUUGUUUACAUCCAGACGGGGCUGGAUGUUGGCGCCAUCUUUGUUUUACCGCGCCUCUCCCUACAUCUGCCCCUUUUUUGUUUAAUAAAAUGACUGGUCUAGAUCUGGGUGUCACGUCAAUCUUGUCAUUGCUCCUGUCUUAGGUCGUUCCUGACAAUGACUCGGAAUUAUCCGUCGUUGGGUUACCCUAUCACCACUGGGCCCCGUGUCUUAGGUUGGU
rnacentral:sRNA from 1 species